rnacentral:lncRNA from 1 species
AGCACCAGAAACGAAAUGUCUCCUUGAAAGGGAAGGGUGGUCCUGGGAGGGGACAUUAGGACUUAGCACGAGAGCCACCGGGCUCUGGGCUGCGGAGGAGGUUGGAGGUGACCUUCCAGAAGGAACGUGGGACAAGGGAGCAAGUGAGGACCUGGUGGGUAGUGGUUACUCUGUGAGAAGCCAGCAGCACCAACCAAAUAGAAGGUGGAGAAGUGGCCCCCAGCUUCCCAGUUUGGGUUUGGGCCAAGACAACUAAGAAAAGGGUCCACCGUCUUCACUCCAGGUCAGAUGACCCUGCAUUGUAUCAAGUAGAAAAAUGUCUAACCAAGACAGAGGAGAAUACGAACCCUCUCAGCUCAUAGACAGGUGAUGAUGUGGUUUCCAACUGACUUUCAAGCAAACAGAUUUCCAAGCGUGCUUGAAGAGGGCAGUAAAUGAGAAGGCACAAGAUGCAAGAAGAGAGAGGGGUUUGCUGGAAAUCGUGGCUGACCACCUCAGAAGGACCCAGAAGACCCGAACUUUCUGGUUUUGCCUUUCACCUUGCUCUGAAACUUCUCCCAACACUGGAAGACAAGAAAGUUCCGCCCUACCUCCGCCCCACCUCCGCCCCCCGGACCAGGGAGAUUCUUCUCUUUGGGCAAGCAGGCUUGCUGGGCAAUCGUGAGCUGCUGAGUUCCCAUCCCCAUAGAAAGCUGGACAUGGACAUGCAUGCCUGUUUCUGCAGCAUGCUCAACUCCAGGAGCUCUCUGGUCUCCUAUAAAUAAAGGAUAACACAUUCGGCCUUCUUACCAUUUCAAAAUGCAAAAUACUGGAGCUUCCUCAAACCCACGGGCCACCUCAGCCCGAAAAGAUAUCUUCCCUGUUCUACUCCCUCCACUUCCUGUCUGAACAGGAAGUGACCCGUUCCUAGCUCCUAUGCCAUGUAGCCAAGGCUCUGGACCAAACAAAUCUUUGCCUCAGCAGAGGCUCCGGUAUACGAUUCCAUUCCGGUUUCACACCCAGUGACCGAGGACCACCUAGGAGCCAUGAGUGAUGUCAGAGGCUACCCUCACAGCAGGUGUCAACAGGAAGGAGACCCGGCCAGAAACUAGGCUGAGAUUCAACUGUUGAGACGCAGUGGCGCCUCUGCCUCCUGGCAUCCCUCACCGUGAAUGAGCUCAGACACAUCUGUUCCCAGCCACAGCGGGCUAAGACUCAAUUUCAACAAGGCAGUGGCUUGAUCCCCAUGACUCCUGUUCCUACCAUUGGGCUGGGCUGAGCUGGGCUGUUUAUGUCUUUGUGCCAGUGAGGCUGGCUGCUGGUGAGGUGGAGGUGCUCUUUACAGCUGCCUCCCAUGGGCCUCUUCUGCUAUCCUUCAAUUCUCCCACCCCAUACCCCCUGGAAAUAGAAAGUCUGACCAGAGC